rnacentral:hammerhead_ribozyme from 1 species
AUCCAGCUGACGAGUCCCAAACAGUAUGAAACGCACGUCCUGAAU